rnacentral:rRNA from 1 species
UGGUGGAGCGAUUUGUCUGGUUAAUUCCGAUAACGAACGAGACCGCCGCCUGCUAAAUAGACCCGCGAAUGGCUUUUCAUUGGCGAGGUCUUCUUAGAGGGACAAGUGUCGUAUAGGCACGCGAGAUUGAGCAAUAACA